rnacentral:rRNA from 1 species
CCUACGAGGUGCUGCAGUGAGGAAUAUUGGUCAAUGGGCGCGAGCCUGAACCAGCCAAGUCGCGUGAGGGAAGACGGUCCUAUGGAUUGUCAACCUCUUUUGUCGGGGAGCAAAAGACGCCACGCGUGGCGUUCCGCGAGUACCCUAAGACAAAGCAUCGGCUAACCCCGUUCCAGCAGCCGCGGUAAUCCGGAGGAUGCGAGCGUUAUCCGGAUUUAUUGGGUUUAAAGGGUGCGCAGGCGGAAGAUCAAGUCAGCGGUAAAAUUGAGAGGCUCAACCUCUUCGAGCCGUUGAAACUGGUUUUCUUGAGUGAGUGAGAAGUAUGCGGAAUGCGUGGUGUAGCGGUGAAAUGCAUAGAUAUCACGCAGAACUCCGAUUGCGAAGGCAGCAUACCGGCGCUCAACUGAGGCUCAUGCACGAAAGUGUGGGUAUCGAACAGGAUUAGAUACCCUAGUAGUC